rnacentral:rRNA from 1 species
GAUGAACGCUGGCGGCGUGCCUAAUACAUGCAAGUCGAGCGAACAGACGAGGAGCUUGCUCCUUUGACGUUAGCGGCGGACGGGUGAGUAACACGUAGGUAACCUACCUAUAAGACUGGGAUAACUUCGGGAAACCGGAGCUAAUACCGGAUAAUAUUUCGAACCGCAUGGUUCGAUAGUGAAAGAUGGCUUUGCUAUCACUUAUAGAUGGACCUGCGCCGUAUUAGCUAGUUGGUAAGGUAACGGCUUACCAAGGCAACGAUACGUAGCCGACCUGAGAGGGUGAUUGGCCACACUGGAACUGAGACACGGUCCAGACUCCUACGGGAGGCAGCAGUAGGGAAUCUUCCGCAAUGGGCGAAAGCCUGACGGAGCAACGCCGCGUGAGUGAUGAAGGUCUUCGGAUCGUAAAACUCUGUUAUUAGGGAAGAACAAACGUGUAAGUAACUGUGCACGUCUUGACGGUACCUAAUCAGAAAGCCACGGCUAACUACGUG